rnacentral:rRNA from 1 species
UGCAAGUCGAGCGAAUGGAUUAAGAGCUUGCUCUUAUGAAGUUAGCGGCGGACGGGUGAGUAACACGUGGGUAACCUGCCCAUAAGACUGGGAUAACUCCGGGAAACCGGGGCUAAUACCGGAUAACAUUUUGAACUGCAUGGUUCGAAAUUGAAAGGCGGCUUCGGCUGUCACUUAUGGAUGGACCCGCGUCGCAUUAGCUAGUUGGUGAGGUAACGGCUCACCAAGGCAACGAUGCGUAGCCGACCUGAGAGGGUGAUCGGCCACACUGGGACUGAGACACGGCCCAGACUCCUACGGGAGGCAGCAGUAGGGAAUCUUCCGCAAUGGACGAAAGUCUGACGGAGCAACGCCGCGUGAGUGAUGAAGGCUUUCGGGUCGUAAAACUCUGUUGUUAGGGAAGAACAAGUGCUAGUUGAAUAAGCUGGCACCUUGACGGUACCUAACCAGAAAGCCACGGCUAACUACGUGCCAGCAGCCGCGGUAAUACGUAGGUGGCAAGCGUUAUCCGGAAUUAUUGGGCGUAAAGCGCGCGCAGGUGGUUUCUUAAGUCUGAUGUGAAAGCCCACGGCUCAACCGUGGAGGGUCAUUGGAAACUGGGAGACUUGAGUGCAGAAGAGGAAAGUGGAAUUCCAUGUGUAGCGGUGAAAUGCGUAGAGAUAUGGAGGAACACCAGUGGCGAAGGCGACUUUCUGGUCUGUAACUGACACUGAGGCGCGAAAGCGUG